UGGGGGAUAUUGCACAAUGGGCGAAAGCCUGAUGCAGCGACGCCGCGUGGGGGAUGAAGGCCUUCGGGUUGUAAACUUCUUUUGCUCUGAACAAGGCGCACCAUGGGGUGUGUUGAGUGUAGGGGUUGAUUAGCGCCGGCUAACUACGUGCCAGCAGCCGCGGUAAUACGUAGGGCGCGAGCGUUGUCCGGAAUUAUUGGGCGUAAAGGGCUUGUAGGUGGCUGGUUGCGUCUGUCGUGAAAGCUCAUGGCUUAACUGUGGGUUUGCGGUGGGUACGGGCUGGCUUGAGUGCAGUAGGGGAGGCUGGAAUUCCUGGUGUAGCGGUGGAAUGCGCAGAUAUCAGGAGGAAUAACGGUGGCGAAGGCGGGUCUCUGGGCUGUUACUGACACUGAGGAGCGAAAGCAUGGGGAGCGAACAGG
rnacentral:rRNA from 1 species